rnacentral:misc_RNA from 1 species
GUGAAUCAUCGAAUUUUUGAACGCAAAUUGCACUCUCCUCGGAGAGAAUGCCUGUUUGAGUUUCAGCCUAUAAAAAUCGAUAUCGUUGCGGUUUCUCUUUGGCAUUCGGCUGAAAUGGGUUCAUCCUAAAUCCUUUUGAUUUAGUCGACUUAAAAUUUUCUUGUGGUUCUAUGAACGUUUCUAAGAUCUAUUUCUUUACACGUUUAAGGUAUCGAUUUUUACUAGACUUAACCAGCAUAACGGAUCGCGUCCAUAAUCUUUCAAU